AGAGUUUGAUCCUGGCUCAGAGUGAACGCUGGCGGCGUGGAUUAGGCAUGCAAGUCGAGCGAUCCCCCGCAGGGAUAGCGGCAAAAGGGUGAGUAACACGUAAGUAAUUUUCCUUUAAGUCGGGGAUAGCAUUGUGAAAACGGUGGUAAUACCCGAUGUUAUCGGAGAUUCGCAUGAAUUUCCGAUCAAAGAUUGGGAUCCUUCGGGACCAGUCACUUAGAGAUGAGCUUGCGUACCAUCAGCUAGUUGGUAGGGUAACGGCCUACCAAGGCUAAGACGGUUAGCUGGUCUGAGAGGACGACCAGCCACAUUGGGACUGAGACACUGCCCAGACUCCUACGGGAGGCUGCAGUCGAGAAUAUUUAGCAAUGGACGAAAGUCUGACUAUGCGACGCCGCGUGCAGGAUGAAGGUCUUCGGAUUGUAAACUGCUUUUGUUAGGGGAGAAACCUGAAACGUUAAUAGCGUUUCAGCUGACGGUACCUGACGAAUAAGCUACGGCAAACCCCGUGCCAGCAGCCGCGGUAAUACGGGGGUGGCAAGCGUUACUCGGAAUUAUUGGGUGUAAAGGGCAGGUAGGUGGCUCUGUAAGUGAGGGGUGAAAUCCUGCGGUUUAAUCGCAGAACAGCCUUUCAAACUGCAGAGCUUGAGUGUGACAGAGGAAGAUGGAAUUCCUGGUGUAAGGGUGAAAUCUGUAGAUAUCAGGAAGAACACCAACGGCGAAGGCAAUCUUCUGGGUCACUACUGGCACUGAGCUGCGAAAGCUAGGGGAGCAAACAGAAUUAGAUACUCUGGUAGUCCUAGCCGUAAACGAUGAAUAC
rnacentral:rRNA from 1 species